ensembl:lincRNA
CCCCUGGCGUGGCGGAUGCAAACGUAAAAGAAAGCGCGCAAGGGCCCUCGUCCACCCAGCGGCGUCAGCAGCGACACUAACCGACUCCAAGGGACAUCGCGGCUGUCAGGACUGUCACGGCCUUGAGUCACCAGAGGAGCCCGGGCCGAGGCUUUCUGGGACUCUCGGGCUCCCUGAGCCUCGCCGCUGGUGUCAGGGCUCCUGCACAGGAGGACCCCAGGGUCUCCCUCUGUAAGAUGGAAGGGAUGGUGUCAGCCCAAAGGGACCCACGCCGGCGCCAUCAUCUCUGAUUCUCCCUGGCUGGCAAGCAGGGAUCUAGUGGCACCCACAGCUGGCUUGGGGGCCUCCAGGGGGACACAUUCCUCCUGCGGGAACCCAUGAGAGGAGCACAGUGCCCAGACAGUCAUGGCUUCUGGCCUUGACCUUCCUAAGGCCCAGAGAGGUUGCAGGACUCGUUGGAAGACACACAGCAGUCCCUGCCUGCGCUCCAUUCCCCAGCAUUCUCUGCCUGAGGGAUCCAGGAGGGGUCCAGAAGAGGUGCGGCUGUCUGGCCUGAAAGGCCCAUCAGUCCUCAGGCCUGUGGGGCACUGGGAGGCCCAGGCCCGGGGCUUCGAGGGCUUAGGUCCCCGGCUGAGUCUCUGGGAAAGAAUGUUGUCCUUGCCCAGCAAGCCAGCACGUUCCGCUUUCCCUCAAGCAACCAGGCAGAAAGGAUCCCCCAGCAGGAGAGCCCCCACCGCCCGGCUCUACAGCCAGGCCUGGGCACCCAAUAUCUGUGGAGGAUCUACGUCCCAGGAUCACCUCUUCAGCGUCACACUCACCGCUGCACCCCAAAGCCCGCGCAGUUCCGCCAGGUGGAAGAGGAAAAGCUUUCUGCUUCCUCGGCUCACUCCUGUGUGUUCGGACUCACAAGCGGUGUCUUUCUUAGAUGCAGUGUGUCACUUACGCCUGAAGCAAGGGUAGCUCCGACAGAGCCAGGAUGGCAGGGGACCGGAAGGAACAGUGUGAAGCCAGGAACUGGGGCUGCACGUGUCGUCUCCUUGAUCCUCCCAGCAGUCCUGUGCAGGAAGUGUCGUGAUCCUAUUUUGCACCUGAGAAAACAAAGGCUCAGCCCUAAGCAGCUUGUGGCAGGAACUUGCUGCCCUCAUAAAGUGCACUAUUUUGUGGGUUUGUUGUUCAGGCUGGCCUUGAACUCAUACUGCAGCACAGGUGAUGCUCCUGCCUCAGCCUCCUAAGUGCUGGGACUACUGACGUGCAGCACUAUGCUGAUCAUAAAGUGCACUGACUGACUUUUUUAAAUCCCCGAAGGGUCCUUGGAGGCACCUGCAUUGUCCUCACAGAGGACACAGGGACUUGCCCAAGUCAUCUACAAAAGCCAGAAUUCAAAGCCAAGCCCAUGCAGUUCCGAAACACUUCCCCCUGCCUCCAAAUGUCAAUGUUUUCACACUUUGUGGUUGCUUUUAGGCACUGGAAACCUAUGCCUAGGUGUGAUCCAAAUCUUCUCCUCCUGAGAGCCCUGCAUUUGCAGGAAAAUAUUGUGUUUGAGCCUCUACUUGCUGUGUG